AGUGAACGCUGGCGGUAGGCCUAACACAUGCAAGUCGAACGGCAGCACAGUAAGAGCUUGCUCUUACGGGUGGCGAGUGGCGGACGGGUGAGGAAUACAUCGGAAUCUACUUUUUCGUGGGGGAUAACGUAGGGAAACUUACGCUAAUACCGCAUACGACCUACGGGUGAAAGCAGGGGAUCUUCGGACCUUGCGCGAUUGAAUGAGCCGAUGUCGGAUUAGCUAGUUGGCGGGGUAAAGGCCCACCAAGGCGACGAUCCGUAGCUGGUCUGAGAGGAUGUUCAGCCACACUGGAACUGAGACACGGUCCAGACUCCUACGGGAGGGAGCAGUGGGGAAUAUUGGACAAUGGGCGCAAGCCUGAUCCAGCCAUACCGCGUGGGUGAAGAAGGCCUUCGGGUUGUAAAGCCCUUUUGUUGGGAAAGAAAAGCAGCAGGUUAAUACCCCGCUGUUCUGACGGUACCCAAAGAAUAAGCACCGGCUAACUUCGUG
rnacentral:rRNA from 1 species